rnacentral:tmRNA from 1 species
GGGGAUGAUCGGUUUCGACAGGGUACUUUGUGCCUGGAGGAAGCGGGUCGUGAAUGUAGCGUCAACACGUAAAUGUCCGCUGCAAAAAAUAAGUGCUAAAUCAUCACGCACUGACUUUGCCCUAGCCGCUUAAUAGCGCCUAGCCCGAAGUCCGUCGGUCCAGACCUGAUUUCAAUCUGGUUUCCGGCGUCAUUUAGAAAUCUUGCUGGGUAGUUACGCCUUAGGGCUACCCGGGACUCAAACUCAGGCUGGGCUCGUCGGUUAUGUCGCUUCAAGCUAGCACCGGGGCCAAGUAGAACCUUAUUGAAGCUACACCCGUAGAAGAUCCAGAAUCAGUUCUUUGGACGGGGGUUCAAUUCCCCCCAUCUCCACAA